ACAGGAUGACCUAGCAAUUCAAUAUAACUUUAAGAUGUUUUGCUAAAAAAUGGAAUAUACUGAACCUGCUCUUGCAAGUUUCUGUUUGGAUACUCCCAUGCUCUGUAAACACGUGCACUAUAAAAGUAAAGCUCAUCCUGAGCUUGCAGCCCAGAACUUUGGAGCGUUAGCUUGUCUGGGGCUGCCAGCUUAAUAAAUCUGAGUUCUCCAACCCUCCGAGUGUGGUGCUUGGCUUCUCAAAGGAGCAAUUUCUGCAACAUUUCUGGAGGCCCCAAAGAGAUUCCAACCACUGGACCGAUUGGUGCUCUGACUCUCUGGACAGCCGAGCCCCAACCGGACUCAGUGGAGGGUCGGAUCAACUCACCAGGAAUGGCCACAGGAUCAGGAGUCACCCCAUGGAUCCACCACACCCAGCUGAAGAGGGCAGCACCUCUAGAUGGGUGAAAGACCUGGACUGCCAAAGCUCAUCUGAAUCAGCCACUUUGGGUCUUCCUACAGAGACAACCGAGUCCCGUCUGAGAUCUUCAGCCCUGCUCCAGUCACUCCAGGGCUGACUGACCUACGCACGGUGGAAGCUUGAGGAAUUCAAUGAGGGACAUCUGAGGGUCAGGGUUAUGAUGACACCCUGACUUGUAAAGAUUGGUUGCACCACUGGCCUUGAUGUUUUCUAUAGGCUAAACACAAAGGGUUGUGUUGGCUAUAAUCUAUGCAAAGGUAAUGGAAUCCUGGAGAACUAUUUGGGGGGUGGUUUUCUUACCUAGGGUGAUUCAAAAUGCCUGUGGGAAUAGUCCUACUUCUCCUUGGGACCUGUCUCCUUUUACGUUGCCUCUCACCCUCAUUCAUGAGGGUAGUUUCUAGCCUAGCUGAGGCCACUGCCAUUAGGAGGACCACCACAAGUCUCCUAGCCCUAAGAGGUUAUCAUCCCCUGGGCUUAGAAGAUAAGAAGUUGAUGCCUUAUAAGAUUUAAGGGGCAUCAAGAGGGGAGAUUGAAGAGGAAAGCUAGAAACUUUCACUCAGCCAAAAACUAUUCCAUGCUUGUUAUGCUUUUGUGAAAUAUGCUUGCUGCGCCAAGAAAAACAGAAAAACAGGAUGACCUAACAACUGAAUGUAACUUUAAGAUGUUUUGCUAAAAAAUGGAAUAUACUGCAUCUGCUAUUGUAAGUUUCUGUUUGGAAACCUCCAUGCUCUGUAAACAUGUGCACUAUAAAUGUAAGCUCACCCUGAGCUCGGGGCCCAGAACUUUGGAGUGUUAGCUCAUCUAGGGCUGCUGGCUUAAUAAACCUGA